rnacentral:rRNA from 1 species
UUCGCAAUGCCCGAAAGGGUGACGAAGCGACGCCGCGUGGGUGAGGAAGGCCCUCGGGUUGUAAAGCCCUGUCAGGAGUUGAGAAAUGUAAGUGCGCUAAUAUCGCACUUAUUUGACGAAGGCUCCAAAGGAAGCCACGGCUAACUCUGUGCCAGCAGCCGCGGUAAUACAGAGGUGGCAAGCGUUGUUCGGAAUUAUUGGGCGUAAAGAGCACGUAGGUGGGUUUGUAAGUCAGAUGUGAAAGCCUUCUGUUCAACGGAAGAAUUGCAUCUGAAACUACAAGUCUUGAGUGUAGGAGGGGAGAAUGGAACUUCUGGUGGAGCGGUGAAAUGCGUAGAUAUCAGAAGGAACGCCGGCGGCGAAAGCGAUUCUCUGGCCUAUUACUGACACUCAGUGUGCGAAAGCUAGGGGAGCAAACGGGAUUAGAUACCCCGGUAGUCCUAGCUGUAAACGAUGGGCACUAAGUAGAGGGGUUUU